AGCAAAAUGGCAUUGCCCACGGCAGAAGCAGAAUAUGCUGGUGCCGCAGAAGCUACUUCUCAAGCAAAAUGGCUGAGGUUUGUACUUGAGGAUUUUGGAGAAGAACAAGUGGAAGGAACUCAGAUCAUAUGUGAUAACACAUCAGCCAUUGCUAUGGCAAAGAACCUUGUCCUUCAUCAAAAGACAAGACACCUCAGCAGAAAAUUUCAUUUCAUCCAAGAAGUAAUCCAAGCCAAAGAGAUUGAACUGGUGUACUGCAGGACUGAGGAGCAAAUUGCAGACAUACUCACUAAAGCCUUGCCUAAAGAUCGAUUUGCAUAUCUAAGGGAGCUACUCGGAGUUAAAUCAGCUAAAGGGUUAGAAGGAAGUGUUGAUGUGUAACCCUUCAGCUAAAGCUUGGGGGCAAAGAUCGAUUAAAAUGUUUUUGUUAUAAGUUUGAAUCUGAGCCAUUGGAUCAUAGUCCAUAUGGCAGCUCAAUCUUGUAUCUAGCUUAAGUAAUAGAUUAAGACAAUUGGCAUCAUUUCAUAGGGUGAUAACAAUUAAGGAUUGAGAUUGUAUCUUGGUUUGGUGAGUGAAGGAUCUCCUUCCUUUCCAUGUAUAACGGUAACAAGCACACACAUGUUUGGUGUGAAAAAAAAAAUCAAAAAUAUUCCGUCAUCUUCUCUUUGAAAUUCCCUCUACAUUCUCUGCCAUUUUCGAAGGUUGCAGAAAACCUCCAUUGAAAUACACAGUUAACACACACACAUUAACAGAAGGGAGGUAUACUUCAUCAGGAUGGAAGUAUAUAAAUAGAGAGUAAGCUUCAAGUAAUGCCUCAAUUUGAGUUAGGUUAGGCAUAGAUACUUAGGGAUUAGAUAUGGCGGCGUUUUUCAAACAAGCCACAGUUGACAACCCACCAUUUUGUUGAGCAGCUAUAAAAGUGCCAGCGAAGACACCCAUGGCUGAGGUUCCCCUAUUGCUGGGUCUGACGCUAAAGACUUUGAAUCCAUUGGCAUCGCUGGCGGUACCUGGUCCCCAAAUCCACAAGUCAGCCUCGUACUCGUCAGUGAGGCUGGAACGAACGCACCUGAUUUUAUCGAGGGAUGGCUUCUCCGGAGAGCUUGUGACAACAAGGCCUAUGGCUUUAUAACCAUCUGAGGCUGUGGGUAACCAGACAUAGCCAUUGCCAUCUUUCUUGAUGUUCAAGAACUCGCUACUCCAAAAGAGAGUGAAAUCAACUGGUUGCCGCAGCAAGGGCGAAGAAGGGUCAUCGUCGUUGUCUUUUGUCGGUUUAGCAGCAAGGGCCCGUCCGUAAAGGGGUAUGUUGUUGGGUUGGCUGUAGCAGCCAAGCAUGUAGAAUCCGUGGGGUAGGGGUGAAGGUUCGAAGAAGCUUGCCCCAAGGUUGCCUGGUCCCCCCUCAUGAGUAGCCCAAACUUUGUU